rnacentral:rRNA from 1 species
UGCAAGUCGAGCGAUUUUCUUCGGAGAAGAGCGGCGGACGGGUGAGUAACGCGUGGGUAACCUGCCCUGUACACACGGAUAACAUACCGAAAGGUAUGCUAAUACGAGAUAAUAUACUUUUAUCGCAUGGUAGAAGUAUCAAAGCUUUUGCGGUACAGGAUGGACCCGCGUCUGAUUAGCUAGUUGGUAAGGUAACGGCUUACCAAGGCGACGAUCAGUAGCCGACCUGAGAGGGUGAUCGGCCACAUUGGAACUGAGACACGGUCCAAACUCCUACGGGAGGCAGCAGUGGGGAAUAUUGCACAAUGGGCGAAAGCCUGAUGCAGCAACGCCGCGUGAGCGAUGAAGGCCUUCGGGUCGUAAAGCUCUGUCCUCAAGGAAGAUAAUGACGGUACUUGAGGAGGAAGCCCCGGCUAACUACGUGCCAGCAGCCGCGGUAAUACGUAGGGGGCUAGCGUUAUCCGGAAUUACUGGGCGUAAAGGGUGCGUAGGUGGUUUCUUAAGUCAGAGGUGAAAGGCUACGGCUCAACCGUAGUAAGCCUUUGAAACUGAGAAACUUGAGUGCAGGAGAGGAGAGUGGAAUUCCUAGUGUAGCGGUGAAAUGCGUAGAUAUUAGGAGGAACACCAGUUGCGAAGGCGGCUCUCUGGACUGUAUCUGACACUGAGGCACGA